CCUACGGGAGGCAGCAGUGAGGAAUAUUGGACAAUGGGCGCAAGCCUGAUCCAGCCAUGCCGCGUGCAGGAAGAAGCAUCUAUGGUGUGUAAACUGCUUUUGUACAGGAAGAAACACUCCCUCGUGAGGGAGCUUGACGGUACUGUAAGAAUAAGGACCGGCUAACUCCGUGCCAGCAGCCGCGGUAAUACGGAGGGUCCGAGCGUUAUCCGGAAUCAUUGGGUUUAAAGGGUCCGUAGGCGGUUUAAUAAGUCAGUGGUGAAAUCUGGUCGCUCAACGAUCAAACGGCCAUUGAUACUGUUAGACUUGAAUUAUAAGGAAGUAACUAGAAUAUGUAGUGUAGCGGUGAAAUGCUUAGAUAUUACAUGGAAUACCAAUUGCGAAGGCAGGUUACUACUUAUGGAUUGACGCUGAUGGACGAAAGCGUGGGGAGCGAACAGGAUUAGAUACCCUGGUAGUCCACGCCGUAAACGAUGGAUACUAGNUGUCGUAGACAUCUGUAGUGGUGUAGACGAAGUAGAGUAAGUAUACCACCGUACGGGAGGUACGGUUCGUCGAAGAAGAGAACGUAACGAAGAAGUUAGUAGGACGUGAGACGUAGACGACGGACGACGACGAGGGAGGAGG
rnacentral:rRNA from 1 species